rnacentral:rRNA from 1 species
AGGACACGCUGGCGGCGUGGAUUAGGCAUGCAAGUCGAACGGUAGGAUACCUUCGGGUAUCUGAGAGUGGCGAACGGGUGAGUAACACGUAGGUGAUCUACCCUCAAGAUUGGGACAACCCAGGGAAACUUGGGCUAAUACCGGAUGAAAGCAGCAGUGAUGUUGUUUGAAAGGUGGCGUAAGCUGCCGUUUGGGGAUGAGCCUGCGCUCUAUUAGUUAGUUGGCGGGGUAAAGGCCCACCAAGGCGAUGAUAGAUAGGCGGCCUUAACGGGUGGUCGCCCACACUGGGAUUGAGAUACGGCCCAGACUCCUACGGGAGGCAGCAGUCGAGAAUAGUCUACAAUGGCCGAAAGGCUGAUAGUGCGACGCCGCGUGAACGAAGAAGCCCUUCGGGGUGUAAAGUUCUUUUAUAUGUGAGCAGUGCUUUCUAUGUGAACAGCAUGGGGAGAGAGAUAUUAGCAUAUGAAUAAGCAACGGCUAACUCCGUG